GUCGAGAAUUUUUCUCAAUGGGGGAAACCCUGAAGGAGCGACGCCGCGUGGGGGAUGAAGGGCUUCGGCUCGUAAACCCCUGUCAUUUGUGAGCAAGUGUUAUUGUUUAAGAGAUGAUGACAUUGAUAGUAGCAAAAGAGGAAGGGACGGCUAACUCUGUGCCAGCAGCCGCGGUAAUACAGAGGUCCCAAGCGUUGUUCGGAAUCACUGGGCGUAAAGGGUGCGUAGGCGGUAUAGUAAGACUUGGGUGAAAUCUCCAUGCUUAACGUGGAGGGAGCCUGGGAGACUGCUGUGCUAGAGGAUUGGAAGGGAGACUGGAAUUCUUGGAGUAGCAGUGAAAUGCGUAGAUAUCAAGAGGAACACCAGUGGCGAAGGCGAGUCUCUGGACAAGACCUGACGCUGAGGCACGAAGGCCAGGGGAUCAACGGGAUUAGAAACCCGUGUAGUCC
rnacentral:rRNA from 1 species